UUUAUUUACAAAGUGAUUUAAUAAGCGGGUUUCAGGUGCCUCUGAAACUCGCAAAUUUUACCAAAUAUGAGGGAAAACUUUGAGCUACUGUCGGCCUCUGCGUAGACUGUCUCCAAAAAUAAUUUUUUGGUCAUUGGUAGAGGAGAUGUUGCUUUACUGAGAGAACUAUUUAUUAGCUUCAUGCCUCAAGUAUCCACGCCUGUAUGACUGUUUGAAAAUCACGUUUUUUUAAAUUUAGCGU